GGGAAUGGGAUUCGUGAUAUUCACUACUUCAACUUGGCUUUGCUUGCCAAGCAGGCAUGGCAUCUUAUUGAUAAAACCGACUCUUUGUGUGCUAUAAUCCUAAGGGCUAAGUAUUAUCCUGGCGGUGAUUUGUUGAACACCAAAUUAAAAAAAGGCUCUUCAUUUACAUGGCAAAGUAUAAUGGCCGGGACGGAGUCCCUAAAACGCAGCUACAUUUGGCGAGUGGGAAUGGUCAAAAUAUCAAUAUUUGGGAAGAUGUAUGGAUCCCAAACUGUGCCACAAGGAAAAUUGUGA
rnacentral:rRNA from 1 species